rnacentral:rRNA from 1 species
UAGAUACCCUGGUAGUCCACGCAGUAAACGAUGAUAACUGGGCGUAUGCGAUAUACAGUAUGCUCCUAAGCGAAAGCGUUAAGUUAUCCACCUGGGGAGUACGCCGGCAACGGUGAAACUCAAAGGAAUUGACGGGGGCCCGCACAAGCGGAGGAACAUGUGGUUUAAUUCGAUGAUACGCGAGGAACCUUACCCGGGAUUGAAAUGUAGAUGACCGCUCCUGAAAGGGAGUUUUCCUUCGGGACAUCUA